rnacentral:rRNA from 1 species
GACGAACGCUGGCGGCGUGCUUAACACAUGCAAGUCGAACGAUGAAGCCCAGCUUGCUGGUGGAUUAGUGGCGAACGGGUGAGUAACACGUGAGUAACCUGCCCUGGACUCUGGGAUAACCCCGAGAAAUCGGAGCUAAUACCGGAUAGGACCUUUCCUCGCAUGAGGUUUGGUGGAAAGUUUUUCGGUUUGGGAUGGACUCGCGGCCUAUCAGCUUGUUGGUGAGGUAAUGGCUCACCAAGGCGUCGACGGGUAGCCGGCCUGGGAGGUGUGACCGGCCACACUGGGACUGAGACACGGCCCAGACUCCUACGGGAGGCAGCAGUGGGGAAUAUUGCACAAUGGGCGCAAGCCUGAUGCAGCAACGCCGCGUGCGGGAUGACGGCCUUCGGGUUGUAAACCGCUUUUAGUAGGGAAGAAGCCUUCGGGUGACGGUACCUGCAGAAAAAGGACCGGCUAACUACGUGCCAGCAGCCGCCGUAAUAC